GUUUAAUUCCAAGGUUUGUGCUUUCUUUCCAUCAUUUACUGAGAAGGUAUUGAAAUCUCUACAACUGUGGCUUUAUCUAAUGCUCUCUUCAGUUGUCUCAGUUUUUCAUUCACGUGUUUUGGAAGUUUUAGAAGUUAGAUGAAGAAAUCAGGCGAGCGUACAUUUCAUAGGACACCUUGCUGAUGAAUUGCCACCCUCAUCAUUAUGGAACAUGCUCUUUAAUCCUCCUGUUUGUCCUGAGUCUGCUUUGUCUGAUACUAACAUUGGACUCCUGCUUUCUUAGUAUUUCCAAGACAUAUUCUUUCAUUUUUCUAUUUUUGCCUAUCUGUGUCCUUAUAUUUAAAGUAUAUUUCUUUAAAUAUUAUUUUCUUGCAUUUUUAUGAACACUGAGGUCUCUGCCUUUAAAGAAAAGUGUUUAAUUUCUAUUUAAUAUGAAUAUAUCUAGAUUAAAUGUACCCGUUUUCUAAUUUUUAUUUGCUCCGUUUAUCAUGUCUCUUCUUUUUCAGUCUUACUUUGGGUUACACAUUCUUCAGGGCAGCUAUGUGCCGUUUCACGACGGGGACGCAUUCCGAGAAACUGCUGUGCCCGUUGGAGUGAGCCGCGGACACAGAUGGCCAAGCCCUGUGCGCGUGCACGGCCUGUUGUGUGGGGCCCGGCUGCAUUCGAUCUCAGCGCCUCACUUUGUUUCUUGGUCACAUCGCAGCUGUGGUUUGCGUACGUGUCUCCGCGGGUCCAUGUGUUAAGGUGCUGCUUCGCUCAGGCCCAGGGCAUCGGGGCCAACUGAUCACGAGCUGAAACUUCCAAACUGGAUCGAACUCAGAACCUUGUGCUUGCCAGGCAGGUGUGGUGCCACCGAGCUACAUCCCUGGCCCGAAAAAGUAAUUCUUCCUAUCGGCCCGCAGUACUGUUACUUGCUUUGUGUCAGUGUGAACUGUGUCUGGGAUCACUUUCCAUCCUUUUGAAGAUGCUCUGGAGAUAUUUCCUGCAGGUUCUGAAGGAGGCCUUAGUCCAAGUGGAUCUCGGGUCACAGGCUUGUUGGAACCGAGCAGGAUGACCUAAACACUAUGAGAGGCCCAUGAAACAGCUGCCCUUGCCUGGAGCCCCGCAGGAAGGCCUCGGCAGCACCUGCCCCACACCGCUGAGACCCCUGCUCUCGGGACCCACCCCACCCACCCACACAGCAGGCCCACAGUGGGUGUGGCCGGCCCUUGGUGAAUUAGUGCCUGAAAGAGAAAUCUGUCUGCUAUGCUGGGAUGUGUCAGAGAAGCUGUGCUCUCAGAAUAUGUACUUGGGAUUCAAAACUGGGUGGAAAUAGGAAAUUCUUUGUUCAGAACAAAAAUAGCACAAGUCAGCAGAAACAGAACUGGUGAAGCCGCCAGUUCCCGGGGCUCUGGAGGCCCCCAGGCAGCUGCCUUUGCUCAGCAGCCCGAUGGUGUGAGGGGCGUGGUGAAGGGAGUGCAGCAUGAGGGCCCCUCUUCCUGGCUCUGCCACCCAUGCACCAUGUGGCCUUUUCUUUGCUCCUUGGCUUCCUAAUUUUGCAAGGAGCUGGAUGGAAUAAAGGUACAAACCCCGAGCAACCGCCUUCAGUGAUUUCUAGACAAGGAAUCCCUUGCUCUCUAUCAAAGAAGAGUUUUUGACUGUUUCUUCUCCCCACAGAGGUCUGAGGAGACCGUUUCUCUCCAGUGGUGAAAAGGGCAACCCUGGCUGGUCCUCAGGCCCUGGAGGGCACCGGGGCAGAAGCAGUUAAGAGAGCAACGCCAGAGUUUCUGGCGGCCGAGCCCUGCUGGGUUCCAGCUCUAGGUGUCUGCUGGAAAGUGCAGCUGGGAGCCAGGUGACACGCUGUGUGUGUGUUUUGCUGUUACCAGAGAAACAAGAGGGAAAAAUAAAGAACAGUUUCCACAAAAAUCCAAACGGAAUUCAAAAGUGUCUGUGUGCAGGGAGAGAGGAGAAAGGCAGGCGGGGAUCCCAGUAACGGCCACUCUGUCCUGCCGGGCGGCCACUCCACCCAUGCCGAGGGCACACGUUCAUGCGGCCCUGGAAGUGGGAGGGCAAGUAGGAUUUCCCGGGCAGAAGUGGGCUGUCCCCGCCCCUGGCCUGAGCUGUGCCUCCCCUUGAAGCCAUCCGCCAGGGUCCGAGACACACACUGCACUGUUAGCUUUGGGUGGGACGGGUUCAGUAAGACUGCAGUGGCAGAAGAUGCUGGUCUGCCUGCCCAAGUGGCUAUAAAUAGAAGGGAGG